GUGCAGCUGGCAGCAGGAUUUGGCUCUGUUGGUCAGCAUCCCAGCGGUGGGAAUUCAGAUGGCUCCUGUGCUGGUGYUGCGGUCCCACCGUCACCUUUCCCUCACAGAGAGGGGGAGACGUGCUGUAGAGGGGAGGCAGCGCUGCAAUCGGCCAGCCCUUGGGGCACUGCCAGCACAGAGAGGGAGCAASACAGCCUGCUGAGGAGUCCUGCAGAGUGGAGCUGGCGGCAGAGAAUACCGGGAUCCUGCUCGGCAGCUUUGCUGACCUGCCUGGUGGGGUCUGCAGGACCAGCUUACCCCAACCUUCGCGCCAAAGAGAAGGACUACGGCCCUACGUGGAACAUCAGAGCCACUGCAGGAGACAUUUCGGCAGCAAYCGUGUUUCCAGUCAGUUAUCCCGCAAAGGAGCACACAGAGGCCGUAAUUGAAUUUGGAGCUGUGUUGUACCAGGCACCACAGAAUUAGGAUGCAGUCCCUGAAGAACACGCAGUCAGCUUGAGAACGUGUCCCUGCAAGAAAGAAGAAAAGUUAUUUGAUGUCUUUUUAUAGCUUAAGAUAUGCAAAGAUGCAAAAGUAAUGGGUGCCAAUGUUAGCAGUGAAAUCUAUUUGAUCUUAUUAAUUUUUAAAUAAUCCAUGUUUUCGUUUCUUUGUCAUUACUACAUUUCCUCACGUUAUCUAAGUACUGUGUGCUGCAUUUUUUGCAAAGUAUGAGGAAGAUUAGUCAAGCGUCUUUUGAGUUACAGGUCAUUACAGUUUCCUAUGACUACAGAGCUAUUUAAUAAAAACAAUUAAACAUUAUGACA
rnacentral:lncRNA from 1 species